rnacentral:rRNA from 1 species
UACAGAGGUCUCAAGCGUUGUUCGGAUUCAUUGGGCGUAAAGGGUGCGUAGGCGGCGCGGUAAGUCAGGGGUGAAAUCCUGGAGCUCAACUCCAGAACUGCCUUUGAUACUGGAGAGCUUGAGUCCGGGAGAGGUGAGUGGAACUCCGAGUGUAGAGGUGAAAUUCGUAGAUAUUCGGAAGAACACCAGUGGCGAAGGCGGCUCACUGGCCCGGUACUGACGCUGAGGUGCGAAAGCGUGGGGAGCAAACAGG